CACGCAUCAGACCUCUCUCCUUUCCCUUUUCUUCCUUCCUCUCCCCUCUCCACGCACGACACCAUCCUCUUCCCCUUCUCUUCUUCUCUUCUUUUUCCUUCUCCUUUCUUCCUCCCUUCUCCUUCUAUUCCCCACGUUAUGGCAAGGCUAUGAGAGACCGAGAGAGAGAGAGAGCCGAGAGAUUGAGAGUGAGAUCGGGAGGGAUGAGGGAGACCUGGUGACCCGGAACCCAGGGAGCGCCGACGGCUCAAUUUUCUGGCCGAUGCUACUGAUGGGUCGACUGCGGUGGUGCCUAGGAUGCAGAACCCGACGGGCCAGGAGCUUAGACCUGCAACCCAUGAGCCAAACCCGAUGAAUCCACCAAAGCCGUGUGACCCGAUCCUCCAUGAUCGGCGGCCGGGACUGAAAUCCGGUAUUUGGAGGCCGUUCUCCGAUGGAUUUCCGGCGAGCUCGCAACCCAGAACCCGUGCAACCUGUGACCGUGACCCGUGCGACCCGCAACCCGCCUGACCCGAGAGAAGACCCGGUUCUUCAAGGUGUUUUUCGGCGACUUUUCCGGCAAAAUCAUAGGCUUUUUUCAGUGGAUUGGUUGAGGAAAAUCCCCAAGGAUAGUGUCCGGAUUGGAGACCUCAAUUGAUUCUCCAAUGUAGAGUCCAAGUGACUAGAAUCUGAGGAGAUGUUCAGGUCAAAGAGUCUAAUGCAGCCAGAUGAUGUCCUUUUGGCUGCAGGUGCUCGAGUCGUAGUUGAUGAGGGUCGUAGACGUGCAUUUGGGAUAUUAUGACCGAAGCUUGCCGCGAUGGUCGUAAUUGUGGGACCAUGGGCGUCCUCAAUUUUAUAGGUUUUGUUGUGGCUUGUGACGCAUGUGUCACUCGUUAUUGUAUUAAGCCAUUCUGUUAUGUAUUUAUAUUGUGGAAAGACGUAAACACAUAGAUAUUAAAUGGCUCUUGUUGUUAUUAAUUUAUGAUAGAUGUUCAAGAUUUGAUUUCCGCUAUUGAGUUUAUGUUUUCCGCUGCAUAGUAGUUAGAUGUUGUACUCUGAUUUACCAGGUACAUAUUAUGGGGUAUGUACCAUAUGUUGGCUUUGCGACACAUCGUCGUGCCACUGUGAGGAUCCAUUAGUAUUUUAAGAGAUUAAUAUUUAUGAAAUGUUUUGUAUAAAAAAAAAAAAAAUGGGUCGUCACAAGCAGCCCCAGCCGAACCACCACCACCACCGCCGACAAGCCCAUCCAUCAAACUUUUAGAUGGACUUAUCACAACUGAACUUAAUUUCACAAUGUGAAAAUGAUUGUUUGUUGACACAUGAACAACUUGAUGAUGUUAUGCCCAUCGAUAUGGACCCUCAAAAUGGGAAAGAUGCCACAGGCGAUUUUGAAGGUAUUGGGCAAAGCGAAAGUGUAAAGGGAGCAUGCAGGAACCACCUCUUCGGAUUUGAAGAAAUAAACUAAUUGAUUCAAUGCUUCUCAUGGCCUCAUACAAUUUUCCUUUGUAGAUACUAUUUUUGCUUCUACAAAAUGUAGAUAUGCGGUUGUAGCUUUGUCUUUUUAAAUUUGUAACUAAGAGAAAAUUCCACUAUUUGUUCUCGUUUGUGCCCUAAUUGUACUAGUCCUUGAUUUUUUUUAUUUUAUUUUAAGCUUACUGGUCCUUGAUUGAAUAUGAAUGAAAAUGAAUUUUGUUUUGGUUU